rnacentral:rRNA from 1 species
UGGGGAAUAUUGCACAAUGGGCGCAAGCCUGAUGCAGCAACGCCGCGUGAACGAUGAAGGUCUUCGGAUCGUAAAGUUCUGUUGCAGGGGAAGAUAAUGACGGUACCCUGUGAGGAAGCCCCGGCUAACUACGUGCCAGCAGCCGCGGUAAUACGUAGGGGGCUAGCGUUAUCCGGAUUUACUGGGCGUAAAGGGUGCGUAGGUGGUCUUUCAAGUCGGUGGUUAAAGGCUACGGCUCAACCGUAGUUAGUCUCCGAAACUGGAAGACUUGAGUGCAGGAGAGGAAAGUGGAAUUCCCAGUGUAGCGAUGAAAUGCGUAGAUAUUGGGAGGAACACCAGUAGCGAAGGCGGCUUUCUGGACUGCAACUGACACUGAGGCACGAAAGCGUGGGUAGCAAACAGG